CGUCCGCGUACGGGACUGCGCCGCCGACGUGUGCCGCAGGGACACGUCUCUCCAUCGAUCCCCUCUCCGGAUCGCCUCCUCCGUCGUUUCUCCAGAUCGCCGUCUCCGUCGUUUCUCCGGAUUGCUGCCACCGCCGUCUGGAUCACCGCCGCCGCGCCCGCCGUCACACAGAAGACGCCGUCGGGAUCGCGUCCACGUACGGGACCGCCGCCGCUGACGUGUGCCGCAGGGACAUCGAAGGAAAGACUGCGGCGCGGCUGGUCCAUUGCGCCCUCGAGCGAGUGCGGUGGAGACAAACUGAGGGGCGCAUGGGAGGCAGACUGGAGGCACGGCCCACGGUGGGCUACUCUGAAAUGCCGCUCUUCCUCUCCCCAUGUGUUAGUGUUGUAGCUAUGGAGGAUGAGGCAAUUGGAGAUGACGAGGAUCAUGCAACGGCUGGCGGGCGUGUGCCCUCUCGGCUUUGGGGCGAAGCAGGAAGACUCCGCCCUUUGUGGGUGCACCUAUGCCCUCUUUCUCAAGUAGUGAAUUGAGUGCUACACAUUGCUAUUGCUGCAGUAUGAUGUCAAGGUGGAGUGGCUCAGAGCUCCUGUGUUUGACAACUCUGAGAACAAAGUACAGUCGUAACACAUCGACGGCUACGCCUUUUUGGGUUGUUGGGUACGCAUGUGAGAGACAUUGGUUUCAGUGAUUGUGAAAGGAGGAAAAUGGUCGCCGAAAAGCAGGCAGAUCUACACCUUGAGAGAUGGCAUUUUGCGGUACAUUGUUUAGGUAUUUGGAGUAUCUAUUAUGUUUCAGAAUUUCUCGAACUAUGUUUCACUCUUUGGACCAUGAUGGUGGUGUGCAAGGCGGGCUAGAUCGUAAUGCUAAAAGAAUCAAUGGAGGUUAUUGGAUAGCUUUUAGAUUCUCCAAAAAAUAAUCUAGCAGAUGGAUGAUCCUAUUAUCACGUAUGGUGGUGGUGUGCAAGGAAACAGAGCAGCAUGAUGGUAGCUAAUGCUGUUAUUUUCACAUGUAAGAUGUAUGAGCUUCAGUUGUCAAAAAUGAUUAGUUUAAUCGGAAUUUAGAGUUUCAUUCUUAGUUCUCUGAAAUAUUGUUUUUAUGGGUAAUUCCUGAAGAGUGUAGUAUAUUGGGAGCCAAGGCCGAGUAGCAAGCCAUGUGUCACCGCAAGGACAGGAGCGAGAUUUAAUUAAUUGUAUUUGCAAGAUUUGGUCUUCCCUUCUUGUUUUCAUGGUCAUCUCACGGGUUUUAUCACUUGCAUUUCCUUCUAUGGUGGUCUGAUCAUUGUACUUUGGGACAUUGUACUUUUAGGACGUAAUGUGCACUUCUGGUUGUUAUUUUAAAUUGCUCAUGUCUUGAUAUGUCUUUCAAAUUCUUGACAUCUGCCCCAGUAGCCUAAACUUCCAUGGCAUGCUCCAUCGGAGUAUUUUGUUUGUUGUACAAUUUUCAAGUGCGACCUUCCAAUUUAUGUUGUUGUAACUGUAAGGUUUGGCACCUCAGAUAAGUUCUCGAAAUACCAACGUCAUAUUUCAAUUAGAAAAUAAGAUUUAGUUUGAUCAUGCAUGCAAUUGUAAUAACCCUACUAUGAGCUUUUAUGUACUGGUUUAAAUAGUUAAAUCUUCUAGAUCCUUUUGCAUAUUUUCUUGGAAUUAUACUGUGAGAGCAUCUUAGUUUUCACUAAGCGAUAAAAUACAUUUUCUAUUUCCGUAAUACAGGUCAUUAGUGGUCACUUGGGAUGGGUGCGAUCUGUAGCAUUUGAUCCAUGGAACAAAUGGUUUUGUCCUGGUUCUGCUGAUAGGACAAUAACGACAAGGAAGAAGGUUGCAGAGUACGGAUGGAUGUGAAAAGGAAGAGGAUGGAUGAGAGAGGAGAGAAGAGGGGUGAAAGAGGAUACGGAUGGAAAGAGGGAGAAGGACAGGGUGGAUGCGCUUCUUGAGGAUUUUUGUCGACUGAUUUCAUACUCUCUUAUAAAUUCAUGGUUAGCUAGGUAAACCUUUUGUACAACAGCUCUUGUUCAAAAGGAAGUUUGAUUUUUCGGCUUCUUAUUUUAGGUCAAUAUCAAGAAUAGUUUAGUUAAUUUAGUUUAAUGUUUAUGUUUGAAAUUGACUGUUACCAUUCUGGUUGAA